rnacentral:rRNA from 1 species
AUUGAACGCUGGCGGCGGGCCUAACACAUGCAAGUCGAACGGUAACAGGAAACAGCUUGCUGUUUCGCUGACGAGUGGCGGACGGGUGAGUAAUGUCUGGGAAACUGCCUGAUGGAGGGGGAUAACUACUGGAAACGGUAGCUAAUACCGCAUAACGUCGCAAGACCAAAGAGGGGGACCUUCGGGCCUCUUGCCAUCGGAUGUGCCCAGAUGGGAUUAGCUAGUAGGUGGGGUAACGGCUCACCUAGGCGACGAUCCCUAGCUGGUCUGAGAGGAUGACCAGCCACACUGGAACUGAGACACGGUCCAGACUCCUACGGGAGGCAGCAGUGGGGAAUAUUGCACAAUGGGCGCAAGCCUGAUGCAGCCAUGCCGCGUGUAUGAAGAAGGCCUUCGGGUUGUAAAGUACUUUCAGCGGGGAUGAAGGGAGUAAAGUUAAUACCUUUGCUCAUUGACGUUACCCGCAGAAGAAGCACCGGCUAACUCCGUG